rnacentral:rRNA from 1 species
UAGGGAAUCUUCCGCAAUGGGCGAAAGCCUGACGGAGCAACGCCGCGUGAGUGAUGAAGGUCUUCGGAUCGUAAAACUCUGUUAUUAGGGAAGAACAUAUGUGUAAGUAACUGUGCACAUCUUGACGGUACCUAAUCAGAAAGCCACGGCUAACUACGUGCCAGCAGCCGCGGUAAUACGUAGGUGGCAAGCGUUAUCCGGAAUUAUUGGGCGUAAAGCGCGCGUAGGCGGUUUUUUAAGUCUGAUGUGAAAGCCCACGGCUCAACCGUGGAGGGUCAUUGGAAACUGGAAAACUUGAGUGCAGAAGAGGAAAGUGGAAUUCCAUGUGUAGCAGUAAAAUGCGCAGAGAUAUGGAGGAACACCAGUGGCGAAGGCGACUUUCUGGUCUGUAACUGACGCUGAUGUGCGAAAGCGUGGGGAUCAAACAGGAUUAGAUACCCUGGUAGUCCACGCCGUAAACGAUGAGUGCUAAGUGUUAGGGGGUUUCCGCCCCUUAGUGCUGCAGCUAACGCAUUAAGCACUCCGCCUGGGGAGUACGACCGCAAGGUUG